rnacentral:rRNA from 1 species
GAUGAACGCUGGCGGCGUGCCUAAUACAUGCAAGUCGAGCGAACGGACGAGAAGCUUGCUUCUCUGAUGUUAGCGGCGGACGGGUGAGUAACACGUGGAUAACCUACCUAUAAGACUGGGAUAACUUCGGGAAACCGGAGCUAAUACCGGAUAAUAUUUUGAACCGCAUGGUUCAAAAGUGAAAGACGGUCUUGCUGUCACUUAUAGAUGGAUCCGCGCUGCAUUAGCUAGUUGGUAAGGUAACGGCUUACCAAGGCAACGAUGCAUAGCCGACCUGAGAGGGGGAUCGGCCACCCUGGAACUGAGACCCGGUCCAACCCCCCACGGGGGGCAGCAGUAGGGAAUUUUCCGAAAUGGGCGAAAGCCUGACGGAGCAACGCCGGGGGGGGGAUGAAGGUUUUCGGACCGUAAAACUCUUUUAUUAGGGAAAAAAAUUUGUGUAAGUAACUGUGCACAUCUUGACGGUACCUAAUCAAAAAGCCACGGCUAACUACGU